rnacentral:SRP_RNA from 1 species
UAGGUACCUUCAUCCAAUGGGGUAAGAGUGAACCAGGUCAGGACGGGAACGUAGCAGCCUUAAGCACUUAGUUCAUGUGGGUGGGGGUACCUAAGA